UUCCAGACGGGCCGCCCCCAUUGCCAAUGAAAUCUCUUGGUGGAGUUGCGGUGGGCGGGCCGUGGACCCUCCGGUAUAAGGCGGUCCCGGGGGAAAGCGGAGAAAGGGGGGGGUCUCGGCCGCCAGAGGAGGAGUAGCUGCGGGUGAAGAUGGCGGCAGCCGAGGCCGCGAACUGCAUCAUGGAGAAUUUUGUAGCCACCUUGGCUAAUGGGAUGAGCCUCCAGCCGCCUCUUGAAGAAGUCUCCUGUGGCCAGGCAGAGAGCAGCGAGAAGCCCAACGCCGAGGACAUGACGUCCAAAGAUUACUACUUUGACUCCUAUGCCCACUUUGGCAUCCACGAGGAGAUGCUGAAGGAUGAGGUGCGUACCCUCACAUACCGCAACUCCAUGUUCCACAACCGGCACCUCUUCAAGGAUAAGGUAGUGCUGGAUGUGGGCUCAGGCACAGGCAUCCUCUGCAUGUUCGCCGCCAAGGCCGGGGCCCGCAGAGUUAUCGGGAUCGAGUGUUCCAGUAUCUCUGAUUAUGCGGUGAAGAUCGUCAAAGCCAACAAGUUAGACCAUGUGGUGACCAUCAUCAAGGGGAAGGUGGAGGAAGUGGAGCUGCCAGUGGAGAAGGUGGACAUCAUCAUCAGCGAGUGGAUGGGCUACUGCCUCUUCUAUGAGUCGAUGCUGAACACCGUGCUCUAUGCCCGUGACAAGUGGCUGGCACCUGACGGCCUCAUCUUCCCGGACCGAGCCACACUAUACGUGACAGCCAUCGAGGACAGGCAGUAUAAGGACUACAAGAUCCACUGGUGGGAAAACGUGUACGGCUUUGACAUGUCUUGCAUCAAGGACGUGGCCAUCAAGGAGCCCCUGGUGGAUGUGGUGGACCCCAAGCAGCUGGUCACCAACGCCUGCCUCAUAAAGGAGGUGGACAUCUACACCGUAAAGGUGGAAGACCUGACCUUCACCUCCCCGUUCUGCCUGCAAGUGAAGCGGAACGACUACGUCCAUGCCCUGGUGGCCUACUUCAACAUCGAGUUCACCCGCUGCCACAAGAGGACCGGCUUCUCCACCAGCCCCGAGUCCCCGUACACGCACUGGAAGCAGACAGUGUUCUACAUGGAGGAUUACCUGACAGUGAAGACAGGCGAGGAAAUCUUCGGCACCAUUGGCAUGAGGCCCAAUGCCAAGAACAACUACCCUCAAGCACCUGUUGCGAAGCCAGGCCCUGGAUUAGGCUCUGGGACCUAGCGGGGACCAGCAGAAAACCCCACCCUCCAGACAUCGCCUCUUAGUUGAGGGCGGGGCAGCGCGACCUGGACUUCACCAUUGACCUGGACUUCAAGGGCCAGCUGUGCGAGCUGUCCUGCUCCACUGACUACCGGAUGCGCUGAGGGCCGGCCUUGCUGCUCCGCUCUGCGGGGCCCAGGGCUGCGGUGUUCUUAGGCGGUUUUGGGGCCCCCCUUCCUCUCCUUCCCUCCCGCUGAAGGGGGUUUUAGGGGCCUGGGCUGGGGUGGGGGGGGAACAUCGUGAUUGUGUUUUUCAUAACUUAUGUUUUUAUAUGGUUGCAUUUACGCCAAUAAAUCCUCAGCUGGGA